rnacentral:rRNA from 1 species
UACGGAGGGGGCUAGCGUUAUUCGGAAUUACUGGGCGUAAAGCGCACGUAGGCGGAUCUGCAAGUCAGAGGUGAAAUCCCAGGGCUCAACCUUGGAACUGCCUUUGAAACUGCGGGUCUUGAGUUCGAGAGAGGUGAGUGGAAUUCCGAGUGUAGAGGUGAAAUUCGUAGAUAUUAGGAAGAACACCAGUGGCGAAGGCGCUCUACUGGGCCAUUACUGACGCUGAUGGACGAAAGCUAGGGGAGCGAAAGGG